rnacentral:rRNA from 1 species
AUGGCGCUGCGCUCUCCCUCCAGCACUUCGCCGCAGGAUCUGGGCCCCCGUUAUUCGCCGCCGGCGGACUCUCUGCCUCCCACCUCUCAGGGUGGAUCCAGCAAUGGAGCCAAAGCGGAUGUUGCUAGGAAGGAGGUUGAUCAUUUGCUGGCAAAAUUAAAAAAGGAGGGAGUGCAGAUAGAUGGCAAGAUUGCUAGUAUUGUUGAUGAUGAGAUAGCUAGAAUUAAAGCUGAAGCUAAGAGGGAGAACAUCAUCAAUGGGCUGAAAAGGAACGGACGGCUGGUAAUGCUCACUAUUUCAGCUCUUGCUUUUGGUUUCCUUCUGGGAGGGGAACUUUACGAAAAGGCCCUCUAUGCGCAGCUGCGUGUCGUCUUUGGCGAAGAAGAAUAG